AUGAAACAAAUGUAUUUAAAAGAAUGGCAAACUGAGAAAGAGUCCGUAUCAAUGUCAUUAAAGUGCAUCAGAGUCAGUGUAGAGGGAGUUCAAUCACGAAGGUGGUCUGGUUUAGACCACGGGGGACAGAGUGCACACAUGCACAUACCACACACACAGACACACAAACACAC